rnacentral:rRNA from 1 species
AUUGAACGCUGGCGGCAGGCCUAACACAUGCAAGUCGAGCGGAUGAAGGGAGCUUGCUCCUGGAUUCAGCGGCGGACGGGUGAGUAAUGCCUAGGAAUCUGCCUGGUAGUGGGGGAUAACGUCCGGAAACGGGCGCUAAUACCGCAUACGUCCUGAGGGAGAAAGUGGGGGAUCUUCGGACCUCACGCUAUCAGAUGAGCCUAGGUCGGAUUAGCUAGUUGGUGGGGUAAAGGCCUACCAAGGCGACGAUCCGUAACUGGUCUGAGGGGAUGAUCAGUCACACUGGAACUGAGACACGGUCCAGACUCCUACGGGAGGCAGCAGUGGGGAAUAUUGGACAAUGGGCGAAAGCCUGAUCCAGCCAUGCCGCGUGUGUGAAGAAGGUCUUCGGAUUGUAAAGCACUUUAAGUUGGGAGGAAGGGCAGUAAGUUAAUACCUUGCUGUUUUGACGGUACCAACAGAAUAAGCACCGGCUAACUUCGUG